UUUAUAGUUCAAAGACCUCCAUAUACGCUUCUUGCAAACUUCAUUUCUAGUUUCCCUUGAGCUGAUUUUUAGUGUUUAACCUUACAUCCGUGGAGCUAUUUCCUAAGAAACACAUCUUAGGUUCCGGAAAAUUUGUUUGUUAGGCUUGAUAAUCAUGCAACAAGAGACUUUCCCAUAUUUUACUAUUCAUAAUGGGGGAUAUCUACAAUUAUUAAGAAAUACACGUUGACUAUAUUCUUCUGUGGUUUAUUUUGCAAACUUAUGAAGUGUUCUAAACUUUCCAUUUGGGUUUUUCACUUGAACCUUUGUUCUCCUACUUGGUCCUCUUUAGGUAACUUCUUUUAUAUUGUCCUUGAAAUAGGAAAAAUUACAUGUUUUAGAUGUUAUUUUAGCUGACCACAUAGGAACAAGCAAUUCACCUGGUGCUCAACAAUGACUCGAAUGCAUUGCAAAAUUUUUUUUUUUUUUUGGCAUCAGUGCAAAAGGUUGCUGUAACGUUUAUAUCCUUUUGUAGUUUAAAUUUUACUGGAAGUGCAAAUGAGAUUAUCCUACAGCAAAAAACUCAAUGCAUAUGGAACAUCAAAAAACUCAACGCAUACAGGAGGCUAAAUGAUAAGCUACACGGGUCUAUCCUCCGUCUUUGCAUGGCCUUGUUUGCCUUAUUAUUGUCCAUGUAAGUUUCUGCAUUUUUAUUUGACCAAAAAGUCUGAUAUCUACUCUCAUCAGGACGUGGUAUUUAACUUAUUUUAAUGCCGAGAUAACACUUCUGUAGCAUACUGUAGCUUACAAAUGACUUUCGGCAUUUGGACCAGAUAAAUUAUAUACUUCUUCAAUCUAUCAAGUGAUUUCCUAUAAUAUGACCCUCCCUAUUUGCUAAGGAUCUUUUCAUUUUACCUCUUUAUAAGUUCUCUUAUUGCAUCAGUCAACUAUCUAUGAAAUUGUGUAACUGUUAAACUAUCAGUUUUGAAAGGGAAUGUGUUGGUUUGUAAGCAGAUUUAGGAUGUAAGCUGUUCGGAAGAUCCUACAUUAGUUUCAGUCAGUUUGGUGCUUCACUCAAUUCUUCAUUUUUCUUUUGCCAGAACUUCAGCGUAUUAUAUUAUAUUGAUGAUAGGAGCGUUAAUUGCAUUCUGUCAACAUUUAAACUCCACCUAUUUUCCCCCUUUCAUUUGUUGUAUUAAUGUCUGACCCUCCCAUCUCCCAACCUGUACAAAAGAAGAAGAAUCUCAGUAUUUGUAAUAUCUAUUCAGGUGCCACUGAAUUCUGUCAUGAGUUGCAGCUCAAAUAAAUUCUCACUGAUUGUUUCCACGGAUGCAGCUAGCUAGGAGGUUUCUCUGGUACAAACGUAAAUUGUAUAUGCACUAUUAAAUGCGCGUAGCUUUCAUGGCAGCCAAGUCUUAAAUGGUGGAAGAGAACAAUUCUGAAGUAUGCCAAGUCUUAUUUUUCAGCUCCUUUUCUCAUUAGAAUGUUGUACUGUUAGCAGGGAUGCUAUGGUAGCAAUCUCCCUUUGAGAAGGACCUAGGACUUGAAUGGAUUGACUAGUUUGAGGGGCAUCAGUUCAUUUGGUUGAAGGAUUCUCUAUUCUGCUUCUUGAACCAAAGAUUUCCAUUGGCGCCUUUGGAGACUCUGGUUACACGAAGCUUGAAAUUUCAAGAAGGACUUGAAAGCCAUUCAUCGGGAGUACAUGAUAGACUACCAUCGACUAGUGUAAUUGUGCAUUAGUCCUUAAAUUAAGCUUGAUCGUUCCAACUUGGUGCGUGUGACAUGCUACACAUUCUUUUUCCACUCUAUUCAUCGGAUAUGCUUGUGAUUAGUAACCACCCAAACUGAACUUGUUAACCGGAAGUGAUAGGCAAAAUACCUAUCAAGAAAUAUGUAAAUAACAAUAUUUGCAAUAAAUUAACGAGAUCAGGUUAUUUAAGUAGCGUUUUCGAUCAAAAUCAAAUGGAGGAAACAACAACUUAGAUACACCAGCACAAUGACGAGGAAUACCACAAAUGAAAAAGAUUUUUCCCAUUUGUAAGAGUUACUUUAUCAUUUCGGAAAUUAAGAGUUUUUCUGUCUCGUUACUAUCACAAGAGGUGCAACCAAGAUUUGAGAGUAGUGGGGGCACUACUUUUAUGUGGCUACAAAA